rnacentral:rRNA from 1 species
AUGGUGAACUGGGUGCAGGUGGUAAGGGAGCACUUCGUGGCCCGGCUGGCCACCAACGCCGGCCUCCGGCAGCACGUCGUGGCCGUGGACGACGAAGCCGGCACCGGCACCGUCCUCAGCUUCUGGCUACCCGAGCACAAGAUCAUCGCCAGAUCCGGAGCCACCGCCGCGGACCAGAGAGAGAAGCACACCACCAGCAGGCACGCCGUGGUGCUCCUGCACGGCUUCGCCGGCGACGGGUUGAUGACGUGGGGGUUCCAGGUGGGCGCUCUCGCCGGGUGCGGCUACGACGUGUACGUCCCCGACCUGGUCCACUUCGGCGGCUCCACUUCGCAAUCGCCCGACCGCUCCGUGGCGUUCCAGGCGCGGUGCCUCGCGGCGGCGCUGCGGAAGCUCGGCGUGGGGGAGGGGUGCACCGUCGUCGGGUUCAGCUACGGCGGGUUCGUGGCGUUCGAGAUGGCCGCGGCGCACCAGGCCCUUGUCGGGUCCGUCGUGGUGUCUGGCGCCGACGUGGCCUACACCAGCGCCAUGAACGACGCAAUGCUGGAGAGGUUCGGCGCCGGGACGCUCGCGGAGCUGUUGCUGCCGGAGUCGGUCGCGCGGCUGAGGUCGCUCUUCUCCGACGCCAUGUAUAAGAAGCUCUGGUUUCCCGAACGCCUUCUCAGCGAUUUCCUCAAGGUGAUGUAUGCCAACCGACAGGAGAGGAAAGAGAUGCUGGAAAAACUCGUGAUGAUGGACAAACAAGAAUCGGCCCCUGUUUUUCAGCAGAACAUACUUAUGUUGUGGGGCGAGGAUGACGACUUCUUUCCCAUAGAGAAUGCCAAGAUGCUAAAAGAGAAGCUGGGGGAGAAGGCGAUGCUGCGAAGCAUAAGCAAGGCAGGGCAUCUAGCACAGCUAGAGAGGCCUUGUGUCUAUAACCACUGCCUUAAAGAAUUCUUGGCAACCAUCUCCCCUGAACCCUAA